CAGUCGCCGCGGGAAUACGUAGGUGGCAAGCGUUGUCCGGAAUUAUUGGGCGUAAAGGGCUCGCAGGCGGUUUCCUAAGUCUGAUGUGAAAGCCCCCGGCUCAACCGGGGAGGGUCAUUGGAAACUGGGAAACUUGAGUGCAGAAGAGGAGAGUGGAAUUCCACGUGUAGCGGUGAAAUGCGUAGAGAUGUGGAGGAACACCAGUGGCGAAGGCGACUCUCUGGUCUGUAACUGACGCUGAGGAGCGAAAGCGUGGGGAGCGAACAGGAUUAGAUACCCCCGUAGUCCCUGUCUCUUAUAC
rnacentral:rRNA from 1 species